UACCAGUUGGAUAAUGCACUUCCUAUUCCAGU
rnacentral:piRNA from 1 species